rnacentral:rRNA from 1 species
UACGUAGGGAGCAAGCGUUGUCCGGAAUCAUUGGGCGUAAAGAGCGCGUAGGUGGCUGCAUAAGUCCGUUGUGAAAGUCAAAGGCUCAACCUUUGAAAGCCGAUGGAUACUGUGGAGCUAGAGUACGGAAGAGGCGAGUGGAAUUCCUGGUGUAGCGGUGGAAUGCGCAGAUAUCAGGAGGAACACCAAUAGCGAAGGCAGCUCGCUGGGACGUUACUGACGCUGAGGAGCGAAAGCGUGGGGAGCGAACAGG